rnacentral:rRNA from 1 species
GUCGACGGAAGGCCCUUCGGGGUACUCGAGUGGCGAACGGGUGAGUAACACGUGGGUGAUCUGCCCUGCACUUUGGGAUAAGCCUGGGAAACUGGGUCUAAUACCGAAUACACCUCUCUGGCUGCAUGGUCGGUGGGGGAAAGCUUUUGCGGUGUGGGAUGGGCCCGCGGCCUAUCAGCUUGUUGGUGAGGUUACGGCUUACCAAGGCGACGACGGGUAGCCGGCCUGAGAGGGUGACCGGCCACACUGGGACUGAGAUACGGCCCAGACUCCUACGGGAGGCAGCAGUGGGGAAUAUUGCACAAUGGGCGCAAGCCUGAUGCAGCGACGCCGCGUGGGGGAUGACGGCCUUCGGGUUGUAAACUCCUUUCAGCACAGACGAAGCGCAAGUGACGGUAUGUGCAGAAGAAGGACCGGCCAACUACGUGCCAGCAGCCGCGGUAAUACGUAGGGUCCGAGCGUUGUCCGGAAUUACUGGGCGUAAAGAGCUCGUAGGUGGUUUGUCGCGUUGUUCGUGAAAACUCACAGCUCAACUGUGGGCGUGCGGGCGAUACGGGCAGACUUGAGUACUGCAGGGGAGACUGGAAUUCCUGGUGUAGCGGUGGAAUGCGCAGAUAUCAGGAGGAACACCGGUGGCGAAGGCGGGUCUCUGGGCAGUAACUGACGCUGAGGAGCGAAAGCGUGGGGAGCGAACAGGAUUAGAU